GCGUGUUCUCUCCUGAGCGUGAAGCGGGCGGGCGGUGCUGCUUGUGCAGGAGCCGCCCGCCAUUGAUGACCGUUCCCGUCCUACUUGUUGGGUCUGGGAGGGAGAGAACACAGGCUGAGUGGU
ensembl:snoRNA U3 Small nucleolar RNA U3